rnacentral:SRP_RNA from 1 species
GGAGGUUGGCUGGCGGACGGGCCUCUUCGCCAACCCGGUCAGGUCCGGAAGGAAGCAGCCGUAACGAGGUUGGUCCGGGUCGUUUGUCCAAUCUCCCGC